CUUGGGGGGGCCAGACGCACUCUCUAACACCUGCUGUGUCAGCCUGGGUGAGACACUUCAUCUCUGCUGUGUAGAUACACUUGACUCCCCCACCAGGCUCUCUCACACAUCUUAACCACUGGAAUUUUACAAUGGUCCCCGUUUCUGAAGUGGUCCUUGAUCAGGUCCCCGUCUCUGAAGUGGUCCUUGAUCAGGUCCCCGUCUCUGAAGUGGUCCUUGAUCAGGUCCCCGUCUCUGAAGUGGUUCUUGAUCAGGUCCCCGUUUCUGAAGUGGUCCUUGAUCCAGGUCCCCGUCUGUGAGGUGGUCCUUGGCUCAGGUCCCCGUCUGUGAGGUGGUCCUCGAUCCAGGUCCCCGUCUGUGAGGUGGUCUCUGACUCAGGUCCCCGUGUGCGACGUGUAGAGUGGUCCCUGACCUGCAAGAUGCCGCCAGCGUCCUGCUGGAUACUGGGUCUCCUGGCUACCCUCCUGGCGUCAGCACUGGCUGACGCCAACACGUGCCCUCCAGAGUGCACGUGCUCUGGUCUGACUGUCAGCUGUGGGCACCGUGGCUUAACACGUGUUCCGCGGCACCUGCCUCAUGACGCGCAGCGCAUAGAUCUGGAGGGUAACAACCUGACGGUGAUACACUCAGCUGACUUCGAACACCUAGCUGACCUCCGUAUUCUG